CAAUAUUCUACAAUAAAUUAAAUAUUCAUGUUGUAGUAUUUUUAUGGAGAGAAUUGUGUACUGAGAGGAGGUUAACCCAUUGUAUGCUGGUAGGAUUGUUGUAAAUGAAGCUGGGGCAAUCUGCAGAAUGCUUUGUGUUGCUGUGUGGUGCCCAGGGCGUGGGCACACUUGUGGGUUUUUUUGUGGCUUUUUAUAUCUGACUGUUGCUGAGCAGCUGUUUGCAAACUUCCUCCUGUUCCAGAUCAGAUCCGCUGUCACACUGUGCUACAAGUGAAUCUUCUUAUUCGAUUGUGUUGUGGCAGUAAUGCAUAAAAGUGUGCAAAAGAUACAUUAAAACCUGCUGUUUCUGCACUGCUCCUGCAAUGACUAGGGACGUGGCUGACCUGUUCUCUGUGGAUAUCCCCAAAACCCUAUACCAUGUCACUGUUUGAUGAGCUAUUGAGCAUGUUCAUGCCUACAGAGCUACAUGGUGCUGGAUGUCCUGUCCUGAUACCAUGAAUGAAAGGUUUUUCCCCGCAGUGUGCGCAGUUUCCAGAGGUUCCUGUUUCUAUAAGCGGUGAUUUAUAGAGCGGUAGGUAUAGACUUUCCUGGUUCCAUAUUCCAGCUCUCAGCAAAUAGAAGAGUGUGACUUACCAUCCAGACAAGUAGGUAUUGGUAGUGGAAAAACUAUGAAGCUUGGUGGACACUCAGAAAAGUUCUCCCGUCUCCCUUUAAUAAAUAAGUCUGUUUCAAGAAGGAAAUGCUGACCAUUCAUUCUCACUGUGUACUGUCGGGAGUCAGAGAUUUAGCUCUCUUUCAAUAAAUCCACAAAGUCUUUAUAAUCCUACCUGGGUCUGUGGGGUCGUACUAGCUUGGUACGCUUACCUUGAAUGUCAAUCCGGUAUUUCCCAACCUUUACGGAUAUUUUACCGUCACGGACUGUGAUAAUUCACUACUUCUUCUCUCCACUGCAUCCACCUCGAUUUAUACCACGUCUACAUUACUCUGAGAUAUACAGCUGACUGGGAAAACGUUUAAGCUGCUAUCUCCCAGCGACUUAUCACUUUAUUAUUGUUAUUGUUAUUAUUGGUAUUUUAUAAAGCGCCAACUAAUUCUGCAGCGCUUUGUCACUUCUCCAAUACUUACUCCGGCUAGAUUGUACGCCAUUAAUAGAAUACCUACCUUACACCGUUAUAAAGGGAUACAGUCAUGCCCUUACUGGGCCCUCUGCUCCCCUACCGCGAUCUCAUUAAAAAAGUGGGUAUUGUACUUCUCUGCGGUCCGUCCAAGUUGCCAGUGUGUUUGAAUCAAGUGAUGUCUCGUCGUUCUGUUCCUAUAGUCCCUAGCCAGUGCCAGCUAGGGUGUUACCAGAAUUUGAUAUUUAAAAGCAUUUCACUGUCCCUGAAACUGGAUCUUGCGAUUUGAAAUCUUGUUUAUUAUAUAACAUUGGCUUAGACAAUAUUCUCCAUAAAGUGUCCAUGAAUCCCCAGCCUACAGGCUUAUUGCGUCCCCUGGGAUUGCCCUGUGCCAUUAGCCGCACCUCGCUCUGAAUUCUGGGCACUGCCAACUCUUCCAUUACUGCGAUCUCUGGAUUAUCAAUAUUUCCAUCGGAAUAAAACCAGCCAAUCCCUACA